AUCACCUGUAUUCCUAUCAAUUUGGAUGGUUCUUCUUACAAAAAGCCCCUUUGUGGUAUUGCCCUCUGUGGCUUCUAUUCUUUUUUCAAAGAUGAACUUGUCGGGUUUUUCUUUGGAAUCUGUAGUAUUUUCUUUUGUCACCUGUAUUCCCUUGCCUUUUCUGUGGUUUCUUUUUUAAAAUGAGCAUCUUUUGGCUGUUUCUUUUUGGUUUCUAACGUUUUUUUUGGUAUAUAUUUCUAAGUUUUUUUUUUUAAGGUUUUCAUUUAUUAGGUUUGUUUGGAACACAAAUGUUUCCUUGGUUACCUGUCUUCUCUUUCUUUCAUUCGUAGAUUGUUCUUGAAAUUAUUUUCUUUAUGAAACCUAGUCCAGUUUAGCUUUGGAUACAUGCGAUUUUGACGUGAAUGUGAAGUGUCCUCCUUGUUAAUCUUGGAUCUUCCAAAUCUUUUACAACAUUCUGGUCAACACCCCUUUUCCAACUUAUCAUCUUGACACCCACAUAAAAAACUCCAGAAUAAACUCUUGAAAAACAUAAUUCGGAACAAACCUCUUUGCAAUCUAGAUCCGUCUGUGAUUGGUUUUUGCGGGACUUUAAGAUUUGUCAGUGAUUGGUUUUAUGUUAGCCUAAGUUAUGACUAAUACAGACAGGACUGAUUUCCGCCCUUCUUUUUUUAAUUUUUGAUCUAUUUUCAAGUUAAUGAACCAUGAUUCUUCAAUUGGAGCAAUUAGACUUGUAGAAACUUUUGUGUUCCUGGUUUAUAUUUAAUCAUAUGCUCCACUGCGAGACUGAGUCUGCUAUUUUCUUGUUCCUGCUGUUAUUUGCUUUCACCUUCUACCCACUUAUCUCCAGUAUCUAUUGUACUUCUAUGUCAUGUUUCACUGUGAAUGUGCUUCAUUGAUAGGUUGAUUUGGACUUGGGAAACUAUGAGCACUUCUGAUGUUACCCUUACUAGAGACAACAAUAUAACUACGGGGAAGAUAUAUCAGGUAUUACCAUGGAGGGCGCUUGUGCCAGAUAAAAUCUGUGUAUUUCAUCAACAGGUCACUUUGUUGCUGUUUAUCGAAUGAAGAGUUGCUUCAUCAUUACAUUGGAUCCCUGGUUGUCCCUCAUAUCGCACAUGCCAUAAAGAACUGGAUUGAGAAGCUGAUAUUAAAUCAACGCCUUUCCAUGAAGCCUUGAACAGCUGUCAUUUUCCGUUGGUA